GCGGGAAUAGCUCAGUUGGUAGAGCAUCACUUUCCCAAAGUGAGGGUCGCGGAUUCGAGUCCCGUUUCCCGCU
rnacentral:tRNA from 1 species